AUGGUGAAGAUUAGAGUGAACAAACUUGGCUGUAUUGGAUGUCUGGUUACCAGGGCUGCCAACUCCUCUGGUAAAGUGAAUAUUGUUGCCAUCAAUGACCCUUUCAUUGACCUCAUCUACAUAGUCAAAUAUUUCUGUAGGAGUCUUUCCAUGGCAAGUUCAAGGGCACAUGCAAGACUGAGAAUGGGAAGCUUGCCAUCAAAAGGAAACUCAUCAUCAUAUUUUAGGAGCAAGGUCCCACUAACACCAAAUGAAGUGAUGCUGACGCCAAGUAUGCUGUGCAGUCUACUGGAAUAUUCACCACCAUGAAGAAGACUGGGGCCCACUUAAAAGAUGGGGCAAAAGAGCUAUCACCUCUGCCCCUUCUGCCAAUGCCCCAUGUUUAUAAUGGAUGUAAACCAUGAGAAGAAUGAAGGCUCACUCAAGAUUGUCAGCAAAGAUUUGUCCACCAAGAUUAUUCCCGUUAACCAAGGUCAUCCAUGAAAACUAUACAUUGCAGAAGGUCUUAUGACCACAGUCCAUGCCAUUACUGCCACUCAAAAUACUGUGGAUGACCCCUCUAGAAAGCAUCAGUGUGAUGGUCAUGGGGCUGCCCAGAAUAUCAUCUCUGCAUCCACUGGUGCUGCCAAGGUUAUGUGCAAGAUGAUCCCAGAGCUGAACAGGAAUCACACUCUCAUGGCCUUCCAUGUUCCAAUGUGCCCUUCAUAGAUCUGACAUGCCAUCUUAAGGAAGCUGUGAAGUAUUAAAACAUUAAGAAGGUAGUGAAGCACAUGUCUGAGGGUCCAGUAAAGGGCAUCUGGCCUAAACUGAGGAUGAGCUUGUCUCUUGCAACUUUAAUAGCGACUCUUACUCUUCCACCUUUGAUGCUGAGGCUAUCAUUGCUCUUGAUGAGAACUUUCUAAAGCUCAUUUUCUGGUAUGACAAUGACUACAGCUAUAGCAACAGGAUAGUGGACCUCAUGGCCUAUAUGGCCUCCAAGGAGUAA
rnacentral:lncRNA from 1 species